ACUUUGCACAGAAGAGUUUGUAUAUUGCAGUACCGUACGUCAUUGGCAAGUGUUUUCGUUGAUGUACUGCAAGCAACAUAUUUUUAUAAUACAGAAUUUUUUUCGUUGUUUUUUUUCCCUGAUAAAAUAUAACUUUUUUUUUUUGUUGGUACAGCUAUAAUACGGUUGAGCUUGCAAUUUGUUUAAUUGUUUAUAUAUAUAUUUUAUUGUUUAAAUGAAGGUUCCUAUAAGUUACAUAAUUUCAUUUAAUAAUUUGAAUAAUUUCAAAUUAGGCAGGCAUGAACUUCAGCCAGAAAAUAUUCAUUAGUUUGAAAGGGCAUUAUUGGCUUCACGUAAGGGCAUCUCUUGAUUAAUUGUAAAAGUCAAUCAUCAAUGCUACUCUAUAUAACAACCAACCUAAACCAAAUUAUAUUCAAGCCAUAAGCAGCUUUUGAAGAAUUCUACACCUUCAAUAAGCUGAUCAGUUCAACAUAACAAAAAUGGCUUCACAAAUCAAAUUCUCAUUGUUCACAAUUUUUAUCUUUGUUUUGGCCAUGGUGGUUGCCGGUCACGACGGGCAUGUUCACUCUCCGGCGGAAGCACCUUCUAGCUUUGCAAGCAGCCUCAAUUGUCACUCAGUAAUUGGUGGAUUUGUUCCUAUUCUCAUUGCAAUUCUCUUUGCCAGAAAUGGUCUUUGAGAAUUUUUUUUCAUGGAUUUUCAUUUCCUUCUUGGUUAUUUUCAUGUCAUUUACGUUUUGACCUUCCUAUGUUGUUUGAUUGAAUUGUUGUAUUAAUAAGCUGUGUGCACUUGAUGUUUUUCAUCACAUGUAUGGAUCGGAUCAUUUGUUAUUUUUUUGGUAGAACAUGUAUGGAGUAUUUUUAUUGUUCAUCUAGUCAUGGCCCGAUUAUAAAUUGAUUUUCAUAUA